UAACUCUUGUGUCUCCUCAUUGGCGGAUAAAUCUUUCGCCUUUUACUAAAGAUUUCUGUGGAUUGGCACAGUACAAUAAGUAUUGUCUCAUUUUUUUCCAGCUUUGUCUUUGGACAGAGUA
rnacentral:snRNA from 1 species